ensembl:lncRNA novel transcript, antisense to TAF6L
UUGGGUCACGUGGUCAGCCAAGGGGGCGGGCCCUCGCGGUGCGGGCUCCAAGACUGGUGAGUAAGCAGUCGGCGUCGGGAAUGGGGAGUCCUUGGACCAGAGCAAGGCCUGCUCACCUGAAGACCCCGGCGUGGCGAAGGCUGCUACCGAGACGACGGCGGCGGGGGCGGUGGCGGCGGCGCCCACUCACGAGCUCACACUCAUUCCCUCUCCCGGGGCCCCGGCCCCGCCCUCCCCAAUACAGCCAGUCGGCGGGCGCCUUGGAAAGUUUCCGGCCCUCCAGGAGGCUUCCUGGCUCUUGAUUGGCCAGUGUGAACAGACUGUAGAGACCGGCGGUCACGUGACGCUGAAGAUUCCCGCUUCUUAAAGCAACCUCUCUUGCUACGUUUGCGAGUAGGUGUGUAUUGUUUUAACACACGUUUAAUAAGCAUAUUUUAUUUUUUUUACCACCACAAUAGUAACGAGGAAAUAAACAGUCUCAAAGACA